UUAAUAACCUGGAAAAAUUAUCAUUAAUUCCUAAUAUUAUGUAAAAUUCCAGGUUUAUCAGAUGUUCAAGGCCUUGAGAUCGUGAGUGAUCCACAAUCACCAAUUGUUUUCCUUACACUUAAGAAGUCUACAGGAUCCAUAAAGGGCGACCUUCAAGUGCUUCAAGAUAUUUGUGAUCGCGUGUUGAAAGAAGACUCGAUUUUUCUUGCAACUUCAAAAAGAUCAACUAUAGACAAAUGCAAAUUACCGGUGGGACUUAAAUUGUUCGUCUCUGCUGCUCAUACAGAAGAUGAUCUGGUGAAAGCUUGCGAAUCGAUUAAGAGAGUUACGGCAACGCUAUUGCCAGGUCCAUGAUUAUGAGUUAUAGAUGAGGUCUGGUUUCAAAGUUUUUGCUAAGUAAACAAAGAAUCCUGAAAGCUUUUACCAUGUGACGGUGUAUUAGUUUUGAAUUAGUACUUGGAUUGCUCUUCCUCGUGCAGGUUUGGGAUAGAACAAGGAUUUCAAUGACAGUAUUACAAAAGCAAAAGAAGAUUUUCAUUAUAUUAUAUAGUUGUGUAGAGUAUUGCAUACCGAACGCACUAAGUUAAUAUGCAAUAUGCUGUGGUCUGCCGAAUUCUUCUGCAUACACUCUUGUUUUUAAUUUUUCAAUUUCACUUCUAUUUCUCUUGUUA